rnacentral:rRNA from 1 species
UCAGGAUGAACGCUGGCGGCGUGCCUAACACAUGCAAGUCGAACGGAGAUUAGACGCUGACGAGACUUCGGUCAAAUCUUGUUUAAUCUUAGUGGCGGACGGGUGAGUAACGCGUGGGCAACCUGCCUCAUACUGGGGGAUAGCAGUUGGAAACGACUGAUAAUACCGCAUAAGCGCACGACAUCGCAUGAUGCAGUGUGAAAAACUCCGGUGGUAUGAGAUGGGCCCGCGUCAGAUUAGCUAGUUGGUAAGGUAACGGCUUACCAAGGCGACGAUCUGUAGCCGGACUGAGAGGUCGGACGGCCACAUUGGGACUGAGACACGGCCCAAACUCCUACGGGAGGCAGCAGUGGGGGAUAUUGCACAAUGGAGGAAACUCUGAUGCAGCGACGCCGCGUGAGUGAAGAAGUAUUUCGGUAUGUAAAGCUCUAUCAGCAGGGAAGAAAGGCUCUAAGGAGAGAUGACGGUACCUGACUAAGAAGCCCCGGCUAACUACGUGCCAGCAGCCGCGGUAAUACGUAGGGGGCAAGCGUUAUCCGGAUUUACUGGGUGUAAAGGGAGCGCAGACGGUUAUGCAAGUCUGAAGUGAAACCCCACGGCUCAACCGUGGGCUUGCUUUGGAAACUGUAUAACUAGAGUACUGGAGAGGUAAGCGGAAUUCCUAGUGUAGCGGUGAAAUGCGUAGAUAUUAGGAGGAACAUCGGUGGCGAAGGCGGC